rnacentral:rRNA from 1 species
UACGUAGGGUGCGAGCGUUAAUCGGAAUUACUGGGCGUAAAGCGUGCGCAGGCGGUUUUGUAAGACAGGUGUGAAAUCCCCGGGCUUAACCUGGGAACUGCAUUGGUGACUGGCAGGCUUUGAGUGUGGCAGAGGGAGGUAGAAUUCCACGUGUAGCAGUGAAAUGCGUAGAGAUGUGGAGGAAUACCGAUGGCGAAGGCAGCCUCCUGGGCCAACACUGACGCUCAUGCACGAAAGCGUGGGGAGCAAACAGG